AACCCAGGACCCUUUGGUCUGCAGGCCGACACUCUAUCCACUGAGCCAAACGGGCUAGGGCAGGAAAAACAUUUUGAAUCCAGGCCUUGCCUUGGAUCUGAUAAGUUGGUCUGAGAAGUGACAGAAGAGUCACUACUGCACGCCAAGGACCAACAACAUCUUCGGGCCUGACUGCCAACAGCCACCAUGGCCCAUGCCUGUCACUACAGGCCAAGCAAGGAGAAAGGAGGGCAUAGAAGGAGGCAGAUCGAAAGAGUGAGGAGCCAGCCAGUGCAAAAGCAGACCCACGGUAGCGAGAGUUCAAACACCAGCUUCUAGUAGAAGCGGAGGCAGACACAGAUUUCAUUGAUGUCGGCCCAAGAACUGUAGAGGAUCCAGUGGGGAAGUUUGGAGUGAGGAGUGGCGACAUGGGAAUGAGAGUUUGCGCGUUGACAGAUGCCUUAGGCCUGGAUCCCUUGAAGUAAAGCCUGUGAGAGAGGUGAGUAAUCUCUGGUUGGGUGAGGAGGAGGGAGGAGGAUGUGAGGAGCGGGCAGGAGCUCUGCAGACUCCCCUGAAACCCUGCUGCAGGGAGAGCUAGGCUUAGAGGGGUAGCUUAGCCACAGCAAGUGUUAAGACACUAUUUUCAAGAUAAUAUUUUUUUAAAGCCAUUGUGAAUGUAACCUAGAUAUAAAAUACAUUAAACAACUAUUUAGGGAAAUCUUUAUUUUAAAUAUCGCAGAAGCUUUGUGUUAAUAGAACCCCUCCCCCAAUUUUCAUGAACAUUAAAACAUUUACUAGUCUCAAAACAUGCAUAAUGACAGCGUUUUAAUCAUUCGCUUACUACAUGCUUUUUAGAUCCUCUAACAUUAAUUUAAAUGACACCAAAUCAAUGAAAAGUUAAAAACAUAUGUGUUGGGCUUAUUUUGCAGUCUGUGUCUAGAAAAUAAUACAUUUACAUGUAUUAAUAUAUUUGUAAUAAAUGUAUUAAUACACCUGUAUUAAUAUUACCCAUUUGGGGGUUGCUGUUAAGUAAAUGUUCUUGGAUUAUUACAUAGAUGUGGAUAACACAAUCCCAAUGCUGAGACGGAGGUUAUUUUACAUAGUUAAAAAUAGAAAAGCUAUCUUGUAAUAGAUUAGAAAAGAAUCUAUAAAUAUAUACAGUCUCUGGCUUUUAUUCUGUUGUGUUUUGCUUUGGCUACAUGCAGAAGGCAUUUCAUUCCCAUUGUUCUAGAUUUCAUCUGACACAUGGGUAGGUGUUCCAUUUGGUACCUUCAGGUCUUGGUUUUACCCAAUAUGGAGACGAAGGUCUUUCAUUUUGCUAUGUUGCCUUUAUAGCUACUUAGACUAUUAUUUUUCCAAAGCUUGUGCUGAAAAGAGGUGGCAGGGUAAAAAGCACGUUGCAGGAAUUCUUUUUAUCCUCGGGUAAAACACCACCACCAACUUUUCACUUGUAAAGAAGAUCAGGAUCCCUCUUAUGACACACACACACACAGACUCUCAGAGUCUCAAAAUACAGGAAACCGCUGGAGAUGGUAUUGCAGGAGCUUCGAACGCUGCCUCAGUCGCACAUUGACUUCCGUGCAAGACACACCACAGGUGUUAUUCAUCUUCUGGCCUCUAGGCUUCAGCGCACCUCAAAGCACCCCAAAUGGUUCUCAAACUUGAGCUGCAUUUAAAUCACCCGGCGGGCUAGUUAAAACACAGAGCCAGGCCCACCCACAGGGUUUCUGCUUCAUGGGUCUGGGCUGGCACCAGAAAAUUUGCAGCUCCAGCAUGAUUCCAGGAGAAGUUGAUGCCUCUGGUCCGAGGACCACGCUCUGAGAACCACUGUCAUAAAUAGUUCUUGCGGAGCCACCAGAAGAUGAUCUAGAUGCUGUGAAUCCACCCUGGGCUCACGCUGUUUCCAUGGAGUUCACAAUUGUCACAACAGAGUGAAGACCAGGUGGGCACGGGUCAUUUCACAUUUUCAGUUCCUAUGUCUCGCCAUCAAGUAGGUAUCCACACCUGAUAUCCUAGUCCUUAGCCCUCUUAAAACUUGUCUCUCCUCCCAUGUCAUGCCCUCUUACUGGAGUUCAGAGAAAUGGUUACUCCGGAGAGAGGAAACCAAGGACUGAGCUCUGUUAGUCCUGGCAAAAAUCCUAAGACAUUCCUAGGCACAGACCGGUCAAGGACAACUACGCCAUUUCUGAGAGGAAACAGUGCUUACCGGUACAAAGCUGACCUUAUAUUUUAAAAAACGAUGGGCUAUCCCACAGAAUGGAGGGAACAGCCGUGGAUGUGUGUCCGGCCACUCCUCACCUUGCCCUCCCCCAUCCCC